rnacentral:rRNA from 1 species
CCUACGGGUGGCAGCAGUGGGGAAUAUUGGACAAUGGGCGAAAGCCUGAUCCAGCCAUGCCGCGUGUGUGAAGAAGGCCUUCGGGUUGUAAAGCACUUUCAGUGGGGAAGAAAGCCUUGGGGCUAAUACCCUCGAGGAAGGACAUCACCCACAGAAGAAGCACCGGCUAACUCCGUGCCAGCAGCCGCGGUAAUACGGAGGGUGCGAGCGUUAAUCGGAAUUACUGGGCGUAAAGCGCGCGCAGGCGGUCUGGUAAGCCGGUUGUGAAAGCCCCGGGCUCAACCUGGGAACGGCAUCCGGAACUGUCAGGCUAGAGUGCAGUAGAGGGGGGUAGAAUUCCCGGUGUAGCGGUGAAAUGCGUAGAGAUCGGGAGGAAUACCAGUGGCGAAGGCGGCCUCCUGGACUAACACUGACGCUGAGGUGCGAAAGCGUGGGUAGCAAACAGGAUUAGAUACCCUAGUAGUC